rnacentral:lncRNA from 1 species
AGAUGGGAGCACCCAGCUUCAGUGUUCAGAAGCAGAUUUAGGCCGACUUCCGUACCUUACAUCCUGGAGGGAUCCACCCUGACUUGAGCAGAAGGCAUCACACACAUUCCCAAGCAGCAUUGUUCCCAUGAGAAACUGAAAACGUAUUUCUUUGAAUCUAGAAUGCAUCUUCCCUCUUCCAGGUGUAACCAUUCAGAGUUUUUCCUGGAGCGAUUCCAGCUUGUUUCCUUUUGGUGCCUUCCUUAAGAAAUUUUGCAGCUGUUUCUGGUGCAGUUUUUGGGUGGGCUCUGGGGUGGGCAGACGAUCUUCACUUUGCAGAGGCUGCUCCUUUUGUGAGUGGAGCUGGUGGUGAGGGAGUAGGAGAGGCCUCGCAUCAUCCUGGCAUUCAGGCCCUUAGCCAUGGAGAAGGACUUGAGGUGGCUUCUUAAGGCAAUGGGGAGCGGGAGCUUGUCCACCAGAUGCACAGGUGUGCAGGACACGAUGGUGCGGCAGCAGAGGUCUUGCAAGCUCAGUACCUUGCUCGGCCUCCCGAGCCAGUUCAACCUGUGCCGCAGCAGCACUAUCCUGGCCAGCUCCGUGAAAGACUCUAUGAUGUUGAAAUUGCACAGAGGGCUGACCUCAAAGAAGG